AUCCAGCUGACUAGUCCCGAAUAGGACGAAACGCAUGUCCUGGAU
rfam:Schistosoma mansoni strain Puerto Rico chromosome 1, complete genome